UACAGAGGGGGCAAGCGUUGUUCGGAAUUACUGGGCGUAAAGGGCGCGUAGGCGGCCUGUUAAGUCGAACGUGAAAUCCCCGGGCUCAACCCGGGAACUGCGUCCGAUACUGGCAGGCUUGAAUUCGGGAGAGGGAUGCGGGAUUCCAGGUGUAGCGGUGAAAUGCGUAGAUAUCUGGAGGAACACCGGUGGCGAAGGCGGCAUCCUGGACCGAGAUUGACGCUGAUGCGCGAAAGCCAGGGGAGCAAACGGG
rnacentral:rRNA from 1 species